UUAACCUUGGUGCCUGUCCUAAAGAUACAUCUGGAGUGAAGAAAGAAGGAAAAAGUCUUCAGCUUUGUUGUUUCCUGGCAUAAAUAUUUCAAAGGAAAUUAAGCAACGGGACUGCAUUUUGAGGCAGUGCUUUUUAGAUUCUUAAGGCUAUUGAGGUCUCAGGAGACUGGCUUAAUUCUCAGGAGAAGCUCUCCCCAGUGCCUUCCCUUGGGAUGGAUGGAAGCAUGGGAAGCCAAGGAGAUCACACAUCACUGGAGAGAUGAUGCCAUGAUGGAAGACUGAAUACUUGCAGAUGGCCAAUGAACAUCUCCCUACGAAGAUGGUCAGCCUCUUAAUGUUUUUGGAUGCAUCAGAUCAAAGUUUAAAAUGCAGCUUCAUCUAGAUGAGAAAGAAGCAACAUGGGACCCAUCAGUGCCUCAUAGCUGCUUUGAAGUCAAGAAAAAGACAUCUGGAGAACUGGUCAUGGAUCUUCCAUGUCGACAUGUUAACACGUGGACUUAAAAGUGGUUUCUGAGCCUGUCUCCUGCUGUGAGAGUUACGGGCAAG